GACGAACGCUGGCGGCGUGCUUAACACAUGCAAGUCGAACGGAAAGGCCCUGCUUUUGUGGGGUGCUCGAGUGGCGAACGGGGGAGUAACACGUGAGUAACCUGUCCUUGACUGUGGGAUAACUUCAGGAAACUGGGGCUAAUACCGGAUAGGAGCUCCUGCUGCAUGGUGGGGGUUGGAAAGUUUCGGCGGUUGGGGGUGGACUCGCGGCUUAUCAGCUUGUUGGUGGGGUAGUGGCUUACCAAGGCUUGGAGGGGUAGGCGGCCUGCGAGGGUGACCGGCCCCACUGGGACUGAGAUACGGCCCAGACUCCUACGGGAGGCAGCAGUGGGGAAUAUUGCACAAUGGGCGGAAGCCUGAUGCAGCCACGCCGCGUGCGGGAUGACGGGCUGCGGGUUGUAAACCGCUUUCGCCUGUGACGAAGCGUGAGUGACGGUAAUGGGUAAAGAAGCUCCGGCUAACUACGUG
rnacentral:rRNA from 1 species